rnacentral:lncRNA from 1 species
AAAGGAUGCAAAAUUGAGUAUGUUAUUGUACUCCUUGUCCACAAUGAGGCUACAACCAAGAUAGAGAGUUCAGACAUGCAAAAAAAAAAAAACAAAACAAAACAAGAAAACCCAAAAAAACAAAUAAACAAACAAAAAAGUAAUGGAUAUUGAUAAUAGGUAUUGAUAGUCAUUGUACACAAAUUAAUUCAUCAUCAUCAUCAUCAAUUACAAAAUGCUACUGACGUUGAGUUUUCAUUCAGCCGACCUUGGUGCAUUUCUUCAAGUCUUGUAAAUAGAAGUUAAUUCAUUGGUGGAUGUAAAUUGUGCAGACAUGGUCUGUGAUAAUACUCACUCCAAGAGUCACCCAGGGCUGGAAAAGUGCUUCCGUGUCAGAGGCCACACCCUGCAGCCAAGCACAAGGUCCAGCCUUCCCUCAGCAGCUGAGGACUUGCAGACAAUGCGUGCUUGCGUUCCAGCCACAUCUUACUCACCCUGGAGGCUGCCAAGCAGCUAUGAGAGCAUGGGCCUUUCCAUUAGGACACCUGUAUUAGUUUCCUCAGGCUGCCAUAACAACCUACCACAGAUGGGGUGACAAACAACAGAACUUUAUUUUCUCACAAUUCUGGAGGCUGGAAGCCUGAGAUCAAGGUGCCAGCAAGAUUGGUUUCUUCUGAGACUUCUCUGUGUAGCAUAGAGAGAGCCUCCAUUCUGUGUCUUCGUGUGGUCUUCCUUCUGUGCUUGUCUGUAACCAAUCUCCUCUUCCUAUAAUGACAUCAGUCAGCAGGACUCCAGCAGCCACC